rnacentral:rRNA from 1 species
GACGAACGCUGGCGGCGUGCUUAACACAUGCAAGUGGAGCGACGAACCAGGGCUUGCCCUGGGGCAGAGCCGCGAACGGGUGAGUAACACGUGGGUAACCUGCCCCGAUGACCGGGACAACUCGAGGAAACUCGAGCUAAUACCGGAUGAAUUCCCACCGCUCAAGCGGUGUGAGAAAAGGUAGCUUCGGCUUCCGCAUUGGGAUGGGCCCGCGGCCCAUUAGCUUGUUGGUGAGGUAACGGCUCACCAAGGCGACGAUGGGUAGCUGGUCUGAGAGGACGAUCAGCCACACUGGGACUGAGACACGGCCCAGACUCCUACGGGAGGCAGCAGUGGGGAAUCUUGCGCAAUGCGCGAAAGCGUGACGCAGCAACGCCGCGUGCGGGAAGACGGCCCUCGGGUUGUAAACCGCUUUCAGUUGGGACGAAGCCAGUCCGGUGAAUAGCCGGUGCUGGUGACGGUACCUUCAGAAGAAGCCCCGGCUAACUACGUGCCAGCCGCCGCGGUAAUAC